rnacentral:rRNA from 1 species
UUGAACGCUGGCGGCAGGCCUAACACAUGCAAGUCGAACGGUAACAGGAAGAAGCUUGCUUCUUUGCUGACGAGUGGCGGACGGGUGAGUAAUGUCUGGGAAACUGCCUGAUGGAGGGGGAUAACUACUGGAAACGGUAGCUAAUACCGCAUAACGUCGCAAGACCAAAGAGGGGGACCUUCGGGCCUCUUGCCAUCGGAUGUGCCCAGAUGGGAUUAGCUAGUAGGUGGGGUAACGGCUCACCUAGGCGACGAUCCCUAGCUGGUCUGAGAGGAUGACCAGCCACACUGGAACUGAGACACGGUCCAGACUCCUACGGGAGGCAGCAGUGGGGAAUAUUGCACAAUGGGCGCAAGCCUGAUGCAGCCAUGCCGCGUGUAUGAAGAAGGCCUUCGGGUUGUAAAGUACUUUCAGCGGGGAGGAAGGGAGUAAAGUUAAUACCUUUGCUCAUUGACGUUACCCGCAAAAGAAGCACCGGCUAACUCCGUG